CAAUAGCGUAUAUUAAUGUUGUUGCAGUUAAAAAGCUCGUAGUUGGAUUUCUGAUGAGAGCCCUGGUCACUUUAACGAGUGUACUGAUGUGACGUCUUGUCGUUUCAUGGGGAUGCUUGCUGGUAUUAAGUUAUCGGCUUGUGGAUCCAUGUCGUUUACUGUGAAAAAAUUAGAGUGUUCAAAGCAGGCCAUCGCUGUGAAUACAUUAGCAUGGAAUAAUAAGAUAGGACUGUGGUGCUAUUUUGUUGGUUUGCGUACUACGGUAAUGAUUAAUAGGGAUAGUUGGGGGUAUUCAUAUUCAAUUGUCAGAGGUGAAAUUCUUGGAUUUAUGGAAGAUGAACUACUGCGAAAGCAUUUACCAAGGAUGUUUUCAUUAA
rnacentral:rRNA from 1 species